CCAAUAGCAAAUGGACGGGAACCGAGACUAAAACCUAUCGGCCUCCCCUCUCCUCCUUUCUCCCUCGUCUACGUCCCUUCGGUGCUGCUGCGUCCCUUCGGCGCCGCCACCCGUUUCGAAUCGGCGUCCUCCCCUCGGUUUUCUUCUCUGGCGACUGCCAUCGAUUUCUUCACUCUGCGUUCGGCAAGGCAGCUUCUUGAGGUCUUUUAGCCAUGGCCCACCUGGGUGGUGGUGCUGAGGCCCAUGCUCGGUUCAAGCAGUAUGAGUACCGUGCCAAUUCCAGCCUUGUUCUGACCACUGACUCCCGUCCCCGUGACACCCAUGAACCUACCGGAGAACCUGAAUCUCUGUGGGGGAAGAUUGAUCCCAAGAGUUUUGGCGACCGGGCUUUCCGUGGCAAGCCGCUCGAGCUCGAGGAAAAGAUCAAGAAGUCGAAAAAGAAGAAGGAGCGGGAGCCAGCACUCGAACCCGAACAGAAGAAAGACAGCAAGCGGCGCCGCAUUCAGGAGGAGAGUGUGCUCUCCCUCACGGAUGAUGCCGUGUACCAACCUAAGACUAAGGAGACUCGUGCAGCUUAUGAAGCACUGCUAAGUGUGAUCCAGCAACAGUUUGGUGGGCAGCCACAGGAUAUUCUUAGUGGGGCAGCAGAUGAAGUCCUGGUGGUAUUGAAGAAUGAGAAAAUAAAGAACCCUGACAAAAAGAAGGAGAUUGAGAAGCUCUUGAAUCCCAUUUCCAAUCAAGUAUUCGAUCAGCUUGUAUCAAUUGGACGGCUGAUCACAGACUAUCAGGAUGCAGGUGUUGCUGCAGAUUCUGCUGCUGCAAAUGGUAAUGGCGAGGCGUUAGACGACAUUGGUGUUGCAGUCGAGUUUGAGGAGGAUGAGGAGGAGGAAGAGAGCGAUUACGAUCAGGUACAAGAGGAAUCGGAGGAUGAUGAUGAUGGCCAGGAAUCAAAUGCUGCUGGUGCUAUGCAGAUGGGUGGAAUUGAUGAUGAGGACAUGGAAGAAGCUAAUGAGGGUCAAACCAUUAACGUCCAAGACAUUGAUGCUUACUGGCUUCAAAGGAAGAUAUCUCAGGCUUAUGAGGAGAUUGAUCCACAACAAAGCCAGAAACUUGCAGAAGAGGUGCUAAAAAUACUUGCCGAAGGGGAUGAUAGGGAUGUUGAGAAUAGGCUCGUAAUGCUGUUGGACUAUGACAAGUUUGAGCUCAUCAAAUUGCUUCUGCGGAACCGGCUCAAGAUAGUUUGGUGUACUCGAUUGGCCAGGGCAGAGGAUCAAGACCAGCGAAAGAAGAUCGAAGAAGAGAUGUCAAAUAUGGGUCCAACUCUCACCACGAUUUUGGAGCAGCUGCAUGCCACUAGAGCAUCUGCAAAGGAGCGACAGAAGAAUUUAGAGAAGAGCAUAAGAGAGGAGGCUAGGCGAUUGAAGGAUGAACAUGGCGGUGGGGAUAGUGACAGGGAUAGGAGGGUUGUUGAUAGAGACACGGAUAGUGGGUGGUUGAAGGGGCAAUGUCAGCUGCUUGAUCUUGAUAGCAUUGCAUUUCAUCAGGGUGGUCUUUUGAUGGCUAAUAAGAAGUGUGAGCUUCCUCCAGGAUCAUAUAGAACUCCUCACAAGGGCUACGAGGAAGUUCAUGUGCCAGCACUAAAACCAAAAACAUUCUCACCAGAAGAGAAGCUUGUGAAAAUAUCUGACUUGCCUGAUUGGACACAGCCAGCUUUUGAAGGGAUGAAGCAGCUGAACAGAGUACAAAGUAUGGUCUACAAAACUGCUUUUACCUCACCUGAGAAUAUACUGUUGUGUGCGCCAACUGGUGCUGGGAAAACCAAUGUUGCCAUGCUGGCCAUCUUACAUCAGAUUGGCUUGCAUAGGAGGGAUGGAGUUUUAGACAACAGUAAGUACAAGAUUGUUUAUGUGGCUCCAAUGAAAGCUCUGGUUGCUGAAGUGGUUGGGAAUCUGUCCCAUCGGCUAAAAUCUUAUAAUAUUGUUGUGAGGGAACUCAGCGGAGACCAAAACCUCACUCGCCAGCAGAUUGAAGAGACUCAGAUCAUUGUCACCACUCCAGAGAAAUGGGAUAUUGUCACAAGAAAGUCUGGAGAUAGGACCUAUACACAGCUCGUGAAGCUCCUUAUAAUUGAUGAGAUUCAUCUUCUUCAUGAUAACCGUGGACCUGUCCUUGAAAGUAUUGUCGCUAGGACACUUAGGCAGACUGAAGCGACCAAGGAGUUGAUUAGACUGGUUGGUCUAUCAGCCACUCUCCCGAAUUAUGAAGAUGUAGCAUUGUUCUUACGUGUCACCAAGCCGAGUGGAAUUCUCCAUUUUGACAAUAGUUACAGACCCUGCCCUCUUGCACAACAGUAUAUUGGUAUCACAAUAAAAAAACCAUUGCAGCGAUUUCAGUUGAUGAAUGAAAUUUGUUACGAAAAGGUUAUGGCUGCUGCUGGAAAGCAUCAAGUGCUUAUCUUUGUUCAUUCAAGGAAAGAAACAGCUAAAACUGCUCGUGCAAUCCGAGACACUGCUCUUGCCAAUGACACAUUGAGUCGGUUUUUAAAGGAUGACAGUGCAAGCCGUGAAAUUCUUCAAAGUCAAACUGAAUUUGUUAAAAGCAAUGAUCUUAAAGAUCUCUUGCCAUAUGGGUUUGCUAUCCAUCAUGCAGGAAUGGCAAGGGUGGAUCGUGAUCUUGUUGAGGAGCUUUUUUCUGAUGGACAUGUACAGGUGUUGGUAUCGACAGCCACCCUUGCUUGGGGUGUUAAUCUGCCAGCACACACGGUCAUUAUAAAAGGCACCCAGAUAUACAAUCCAGAGAAAGGAGCUUGGACUGAACUUAGUCCUCUUGAUGUCAUGCAGAUGCUUGGCCGUGCAGGAAGGCCUCAGUAUGACUCUUAUGGAGAAGGCAUAAUUCUAACAGGUCACAGUGAGCUGCAGUACUAUCUAUCCCUUAUGAACCAGCAGCUGCCAAUUGAGAGUCAGUUUGUGUCUAAAUUGGCUGACCAAUUAAAUGCAGAGAUUGUUCUGGGGACAGUUCAGAAUGCCAGAGAGGCAUGUAACUGGAUUGGGUACACUUACCUUUACGUACGCAUGGUUAGAAACCCAACUUUAUAUGGAUUGUCUGCAGACAUCCUGGAGAGGGACAAACUGUUGGAGGAAAGGCGAGCUGAUCUGAUUCAUACUGCUGCAAAUAUUUUAGAUAAAAACAAUUUAGUCAAGUACGACAGGAAGAGCGGGUACUUUCAGGCUACAGAUCUGGGCAGAAUUGCAAGUUAUUAUUAUAUCACUCAUGGGACAAUAUCUACGUACAAUGAGUACCUAAAGCCAACUAUGGGUGACAUAGAGCUUUUCCGAUUGUUCUCCCUUAGUGAAGAGUUUAAAUAUGUGACUGUGCGGCAGGAUGAGAAGAUGGAGUUGGCAAAGCUUUUGGAUCGUGUGCCUAUUCCUGUCAAAGAAAGCUUGGAGGAGCCUAGUGCUAAAAUCAAUGUUCUGUUGCAAGCAUACAUAUCACAGCUGAAACUUGAGGGGCUUUCCCUGACAUCUGAUAUGGUUUUCAUUAAGCAGAGUGCAGGCCGUCUUAUAAGAUCUCUGUUUGAGAUCGUCUUAAAAAGGGGAUGGGCUCAAUUGGCUGAGAAGGCCUUAAAUCUUUGCAAGAUGGUUGACAAGCGCAUGUGGAGCGUUCAGACUCCGCUGCGCCAGUUCACAGGUAUACCAAAUGAAAUUUUGAUGAAAUUGGAAAAGAAGGAUCUGUCUUGGGAAAGAUAUUAUGACCUGUCAUCCCAGGAGAUUGGAGAGUUGAUUCGUUACCCCAAGAUGGGUAGGCAGCUUCAUAAGUGCAUACACCAGUUGCCAAAACUGAACCUUUUAGCACAUGUCCAACCCAUCACCCGCACUGUCUUGGGUUUUGAAUUGACUAUAACACCUGAUUUUCAGUGGGAUGAUGCUGUGCAUGGAUAUGUGGAACCAUUUUGGGUUAUUGUCGAGGACAAUGAUGGUGAAUAUAUUCUUCAUCAUGAGUAUUUCAUGCUUAAGAAACAGUACAUUGAUGAAGAUCACACUCUGAACUUCACUGUUCCCAUUUACGAGCCACUGCCACCUCAAUAUUUCAUUCGUGUAGUAUCAGACAAGUGGCUUGGUUCUCAAACUGUUUUACCUGUCUGUUUUAGGCAUCUGAUUCUACCAGAAAAGUACCCCCCUGCAACUGAAUUGCUGGAUUUACAACCUCUGCCAGUUACUGCUUUAAGAAAUCCUGCAUAUGAAGCUCUUUAUGAUGCAUUCAAACAUUUUAAUCCUAUCCAGACACAAGUGUUCACGGUUUUGUACAACACAGAUGACAAUGUCUUGGUUGCUGCCCCUACUGGCAGUGGGAAGACUAUAUGUGCUGAGUUUGCAUUGCUUCGGAAUCAUCAAAAAGGUCCUGAUAGCAUCAUGAGGGCUGUGUACAUUGCUCCGAUUGAAGCUGUCGCAAAAGAAAGGUACCGUGAUUGGGAAGAGAAGUUUGGGAAACGUCUGGGAAUUCGUGUUGUGGAGUUGACUGGAGAAACUGCUACCGACUUGAAGCUGCUUGAGAGAGGACAGAUCAUAAUCAGUACUCCAGAAAAAUGGGAUGCACUCUCUCGUAGGUGGAAACAACGUAAGCAAGUCCAGCAGGUCAGCCUCUUCAUUGUAGAUGAGCUUCAUUUAAUAGGUGGAGAAAUGGGUCCUAUCUUGGAGAUAAUCGUCUCUAGGAUGAGACGUAUUGCAAGUCACAUUGGUAGCAACAUCCGUAUCGUAGCACUUUCAGCAUCUCUUGCAAACGCUAAGGAUCUUGGUGAAUGGAUAGGUGCUACAUCUCAUGGUUUGUUCAAUUUUCCACCUGGUGUUCGUCCAGUGCCUUUGGAGAUACAUAUUCAAGGUGUGGAUAUAUCAAAUUUUGAGGCAAGAAUGCAAGCAAUGACAAAACCUACAUAUACUGCUAUUGUUCAGCAUUCGAAGAAUGGGAAACCAGCCCUGGUCUUUGUACCCACAAGAAAGCAUGCACGGCUGACUGCACUGGAUCUGUGUACUUAUUCACAUGCUGACCGUGGAGAGAGGCCUUCUUUUCUUCUUGGUUCGGGGGAAGAAAUGAACACUUUUAUAUCGGGGAUCAAGGAUGAUACCCUGAAAGGGACACUUGCUCUUGGUGUCGGCUACUUGCAUGAAGGUCUCAAUGAGUUUGAUCAAGAGGUUGUAAUACAAUUGUUUCUUGGUGGAAGGAUUCAAGUUUGUGUUGCAACCAGUUUGAUGUGCUGGGGUCGGUCAUUGCCAUCCCACUUGGUUGUCGUUAUGGGAACACAAUAUUAUGAUGGCAGAGAGAAUGCUCACACUGAUUAUCCAAUCACUGAUCUGCUGCAGAUGAUGGGCCAUGCCAGUAGACCUCUCAAAGAUAACUCUGGUAUAUGCGUCAUACUAUGCCAUGCUCCUCGUAAGGAGUAUUAUAAGAAGUUCCUCUAUGAGGCUUUCCCAGUCGAGAGCCAUUUGCAUAAUUUCUUGCAUGAUCAUAUGAAUGCGGAAGUUGUUGUUGGAGUUACAGAGAAUAAGCAAGAUGCUGUGGAUUAUCUUACUUGGACUUUCAUGUAUCGGAGGCUUACUAAGAAUCCAAACUACUAUAAUCUGCAGGGUGUGAGUCACAGGCAUCUUUCUGAUCACCUUUCUGAACUAGUGGAGAAUGUUUUGAGUGACUUGGAAUCGAGCAAAUGUGUGGCUAUUGAGGAGGAUAUGUACCUGAAACCUCUGAACCUUGGCUUGAUUGCUUCAUAUUAUUACAUUAGUUACACCACUAUCGAGCGAUUCAGUUCUUCUUUAACAUCCAAAACUAAGAUGAAAGGUCUACUGGAUAUUUUGGCAUCAGCUUCAGAGUAUUCACAGCUUCCCAUCCGACCUGGCGAGGAAGAAUUGAUCAGGAAGUUGAUUAAUCACCAGAGGUUCUCCUUUGAGAAUCCAAAAUGCACUGACCCUCAUGUUAAAGCAAAUGUGCUGUUGCAAGCUCACUUCUCCAGACACACAGUGGUUGGGAACCUUGCGGCAGAUCAGCGAGAGGUUCUCCUUUCUGCUCAUAGGCUGCUUCAAGCAAUGGUUGAUGUUAUCUCAAGCAACGGAUGGCUUAGCCUUGCCCUUUCUGCAAUGGAGCUGAGUCAAAUGGUAACACAGGGCAUGUGGGAGCGUGAUUCCAUGCUUUUGCAAAUUCCACAUUUCACAAAGGAGUUAGCCAAGAGAUGCCAAGAAAAUCCAGGGAGGAGUAUUGAGACUGUUUUUGAUCUUGUGGAGAUGGAAGAUGAUGAAAGGCGGGAUCUGCUGCAAAUGUCAGAUUCCCAGUUGCUUGAUAUUGCUCGAUUUUGCAACCGCUUUCCUAACAUUGAUAUGACCUACGAGGUGCUGGACGAUGAUGAUGUUAGGCCCGGGGAAAAUGUGACAUUGCAGGUUACGCUGGAGCGUGAUCUCGAGGGGCGUUCUGAGGUUGGACCAGUGGAUGCACCCAGAUAUCCAAAGCCCAAAGAAGAAGGGUGGUGGCUUGUGGUUGGUGAUACCAGCAAUAAUCAGUUACUUGCCAUCAAAAGAGUAGCAUUGCAAAGGAAAGCAAAAGUCAAGCUUGUCUUUACAGCUCCUGCAGAGGUUGGGAAGAAGGCAUUUACCAUUUACUUCAUGUGCGAUUCAUAUUUGGGCUGUGACCAGGAAUAUAAUUUUAACAUUGAUGUCAAAGAAGGCGGAGAAGAUGGGAAUAGAAGCGACUAAAAGUUCAUCUGCUGUCGGAGCCUAUCUUCUUUAUGCUUUCUCAUUAAUUGGCCUUGGGGGGGUAUAGUGUGUUAGCUUAUGUUGUUCCUGUUACUUAAUGCUUCUCUCCGUUGUGGCGAAUAAUUUUUUCUGUUAUAGAGCAAAUAACAAAGAGAAUGAAAAGGAACAGAUGAAAGAGAACUGUUCAUGGAUCCUUUCAUGUCCUUUGCAGGUGCCUUGGAGUUGAUAUCCAUCUAAGAGAGUUAUAUAGCUGCCGAGUUCGGCGAUCAGUAUGAUUUCUCAACCCUAUUUCACUUCUUAAACUGGAUAUCUCAUCUACUCUUUUGCUAGACACGACCAUCACAUCGUCUAAAAUCUGGUCCACUAGAUCCCAUCAGCACUAGAAACAGAGUGAUAUCUCCGAAAGCUGUGGGGAUUGCCGACAAGUUUGCCUCGCAGGUCGGACGAUGGCCACAAACUCGUCAUCGGUGAAGUUGUUUUCGUUACUGUACAGAAUUAUCCUCCAACAGUGGGCAUGAGAUUGAUGGUUUGGAUUAUUUAGGUGUAUGUUUCUCGUAGAGCAUGUUAUGGGAUUAGUAAUAAACGUAGUAUUAAACCUUCA